UACGUAGGGUGCAAGCGUUGUCCGGAAUUAUUGGGCGUAAAGAGCUCGUAGGCGGUCUGUCGCGUCGAUCGUGAAAACUUGGGGCUUAACCCUGAGCUUGCGGCCGAUACGGGCAUGACUGGAGUUCGGCAGGGGAGACUGGAAUUCCUGGUGUAGCGGUGAAAUGCGCAGAUAUCAGGAGGAACACCGGUGGCGAAGGCGGGUCUCUGGGCCGAUACUGACGCUGAGGAGCGAAAGCGUGGGGAGCGAACAGG
rnacentral:rRNA from 1 species